rnacentral:rRNA from 1 species
AACGAACGCUGGCGGCAUGCCUAACACAUGCAAGUCGAACGAACUCUUCGGGGCUAGUGGCGCACGGGUGCGUAACGCGUGGGAACGUGCCUUUAGGUUCGGAAUAACUCAGAGAAACUUGUGCUAAUACCGGAUGUGCCCUUCGGGGGAAAGAUUUAUCGCCUUUAGAUGGGCCCGCGUCUGAUUAGCUAGUUGGUGAGGUAACGGCUCACCAAGGCGACGAUCCGUAGCUGGUCUGAGAGGAUGAUCAGCCACACUGGGACUGAGACACGGCCCAGACUCCUACGGGAGGCAGCAGUGGGGAAUCUUGCACAAUGGGCGAAAGCCUGACCCAGCAAUGCCGCGUGAAUGAUGAAGGUCUUAGGAUUGUAAAGCUCUUUUACCCGGGACGAUAAUGACGGUACCGGGAGAAGAAGCCCCGGCUAACUCCGUG